rnacentral:rRNA from 1 species
UGGGGAAUAUUGGACAAUGGACCAAGAGUCUGAUCCAGCAAUUCUGUGUGCACGAUGACGUUUUUCGGAAUGUAAAGUGCUUUCAGUUGGGAAGAAAAAAAUGACGGUACCAACAGAAGAAGUGACGGCUAAAUACGUGCCAGCAGCCGCGGUAAUACGUAUGUCACGAGCGUUAUCCGGAUUUAUUGGGCGUAAAGCGCGUCUAGGUGGUUAUGUAAGUCUGAUGUGAAAAUGCAGGGCUCAACUCUGUAUUGCGUUGGAAACUGUGUAACUAGAGUACUGGAGAGGUAAGCGGAACUACAAGUGUAGAGGUGAAAUUCGUAGAUAUUUGUAGGAAUGCCGAUGGGGAAGCCAGCUUACUGGACAGAUACUGACGCUGAAGCGCGAAAGCGUGGGUAGCAAACAGGAUUAGAUACCCUGGUAGUCCACGCCGUAAACGAUGAUUACUAGGUGUUGGGGGUCGAACCUCAGCGCCCAAGCAAACGCGAUAAGUAAUCCGCCUGGGGAGUACGUACGCAAGUAU